rnacentral:lncRNA from 1 species
CUGGCUGCUCAGCAAUGGAGCCAGUACAGACAGUCUAGAGGAAAUCAUGUAGGAAAACCUACACUUUAGAACACAUAAUUCAUAUUUCAAGAUACCCUCUGUACUUCAAAUUUUGCUGAGAAUUCUCCUUCAGGUGUCCUUUACACUAAUCCCACCCUCCAGCCAAUGUAGGUUUUUUGAAGAAGGUGCAGGUGACAGAGAACUUGCUCCAGCAGAUGGCCAGAGUCCAAGGAGACAUGGAGACUGGACUGAAAGGAGGUAUCUGCUGCUGAGGGACAUUGCACUGGGUGUACAGGUGCAUAGGCCAACAACCAAUCCCUGGCCAAUAAAAUGAAAUGCAGUAGCUUUGGCUGGGGAUUUCAGGCAUACAUCAUAUUAAGACCUGGAUGUAUAUCAAUGUUUAAGGCAUGUGAGAAAUUAGUUUAAAACACCUCUAUCAGAAGAGGAAUUCUACCUAUGUUACUCAGAAACACUGUAUAAAAUUUCUGCUGCAUUGUGAAACAAAUACUAGAGGCAAUGUAACUCUGUUAUUCUGUGUAUGAGAUUCAGUUGCCUCCACAUAAAUUUCUGAUGCUAUAUCAAAUGCCCAGGGUUAUUUUACAUUAUUUCCCAGGUGGUAUUCCAG